rnacentral:rRNA from 1 species
UACGGGGGGGGCAAGCGUUGUUCGGAAUUACUGGGCGUAAAGGGCUCGUAGGCGGCCAACUAAGUCAGACGUGAAAUCCCUCGGCUUAACCGGGGAACUGCGUCUGAUACUGGUUGGCUUGAAUCCGGGAGAGGGAUGUGGAAUUCCAGGUGUAGCGGUGAAAUGCGUAGAUAUCUGGAGGAACACCGGUGGCGAAGGCGGCAUCCUGGACCGGUAUUGACGCUGAGGAGCGAAAGCGUGGGGAGCAAACAGG